rnacentral:misc_RNA from 1 species
GUAGGUGAACCUGCGGAAGGAUCAUUAUCGUUGGGGCUUCGGCCCCGUCGAGAUAGUACCCUUGCCAUUUAUUAGCGUACCUGUUCGUUUCCUCGGUGGGCUCGCCCGCCAAUGGGGACCAAAACUUAACUCUUGUAUCAUUGUCAUUUAGUCUGAAUAAAAAUUAAAAAAUUAAAACUUUCAACAACGGAUCUCUUGGUUCUG